rnacentral:rRNA from 1 species
CGAGACCUCAGGUCAGGCGGGGCUACCCGCUGAAUUUAAGCAUAUCAAUAAGCGGGAGGAAAAGAAACUAACAAGGAUUCCCUUAGUAACGG